UGUCUCAGUUCGGAUUGGAGUCUGCAACCCGACUCCAUGAAGCUGGAUUCGCUAGUAAUCGCGCAUCAGCCACGGCGCGGUGAAUACGUUCCCGGGCCUUGUACACACCGCCCGUCAAGCCAUGGAAGCCGGGGGUGCCUGAAGUGCGUGACCGCAAGGAGCGCCCUAGGGUAAAACCGGUGACUGGGGCUAAGUCGUAACAAGGUACC
rnacentral:rRNA from 1 species